GAACGAACGCUGGCGGCAUGCCUAACCCAUGCAAGUCGAACGAGACCUUCGGGUCUAGUGGCGCAUGGGUGCGUAACGCGUGGGAACCUGCCCUUAGGUUCGGAAUAACUCCCCGAAAGGGGUGCUAAUACCGGAUAAUGUCUUCGGACCAAAGAUUUAUCGCCUUUGGAUGGGCCCGCGUUGGAUUAGCUAGUUGGUAGGGUAAAAGCCUACCAAGGCGACGAUCCAUAGCUGGUCUGAGAGGAUGAUCAGCCACACUGGGACUGAGACACGGCCCAGACUCCUACGGGAGGCAGCAGUGGGGAAUAUUGGACAAUGGGCGAAAGCCUGAUCCAGCAAUGCCGCGUGAGUGAUGAAGGCCUUAGGGUUGUAAAGCUCUUUUACCCGGGAUGAUAAUGACAGUACCGGGAGAAUAAGCUCCGGCUAACUCCGUG
rnacentral:rRNA from 1 species